rnacentral:rRNA from 1 species
UACGUAGGGUGCGAGCGUUGUCCGGAAUUACUGGGCGUAAAGCGUGCGCAGGCGGCGGCUCAAGUCAGGUGUGAAAUCCCCGGGCUUAACCUGGGAAUUGCGCUUGAAACUAGGCUGCUUGAGUGUGGCAGAGGGGGGUGGAAUUCCACGUGUAGCAGUGAAAUGCGUAGAGAUGUGGAGGAACACCGAUGGCGAAGGCAGCCCCCUGGGUCAACACUGACGCUCAUGCACGAAAGCGUGGGGAGCAAACAGG